rnacentral:rRNA from 1 species
CCUACGGGGGCAGCAGUGGGGAAUAUUGGACAAUGGGCGAAAGCCUGAUCCAGCCAUGCCGCGUGUGUGAAGAAGGCCUUCGGGUUGUAAAGCACUUUCAGUGGGGAAGAAAGCCUUGGGGCUAAUACCCUCGAGGAAGGACAUCACCCACAGAAGAAGCACCGGCUAACUCCGUGCCAGCAGCCGCGGUAAUACGGAGGGUGCGAGCGUUAAUCGGAAUUACUGGGCGUAAAGCGCGCGUAGGCGGUCUGAUAAGCCGGUUGUGAAAGCCCCGGGCUCAACCUGGGAACGGCAUCCGGAACUGUCAGGCUAGAGGGCAGGAGAGGAAGGUAGAAUUCCCGGUGUAGCGGUGAAAUGCGUAGAGAUCGGGAGGAAUACCAGUGGCGAAGGCGGCCUUCUGGACUGACACUGACGCUGAGGUGCGAAAGCGUGGGUAGCAAACAGGAUUAGAUACCCCAGUAGUC